AAUACAAGCUGUUCUAUCGCUGUUCUGCGUAAGCGGAAGAGAGGAAAGUCCGGGCAACAUAGAGCAUCUCGCUUCCUAACGGGAAGGCGUUUAGGAUUGAAUACCUGAAUGACGGAAAGUGCCACAGAAAAUAUACCGCCCCAAUUUAUUGGAGUAAGGGUGAAAACGUGAGGUAAGAGCUCACGAACUCGUUAAGUGAUUAACGUUUUGGUAAACCCCGGGAGUUGAAAGACCAAAUAGGCUAACGUAUGUAGGGCUGCUCGUUCGAUGUUAGUGGGUAGGUCGUUAGAGAUAAACGGCGACGUUUAUAGUGGAUUAAUGAUAGAAGCCCAAUUUAUUGGGAACAGAACCCGGCUUAUAGGCUUGUAUUUUUU
rnacentral:RNase_P_RNA from 1 species